rnacentral:rRNA from 1 species
CAGCCGCCGCGGUAAUACGUAGGUGGCAAGCGUUGUCCGGAAUUAUUGGGCGUAAAGGGCUCGCAGGCGGUUUCUUAAGUCUGAUGUGAAAGCCCCCGGCUCAACCGGGGAGGGUCAUUGGAAACUGGGAAACUUGAGUGCAGAAGAGGAGAGUGGAAUUCCACGUGUAGUGGUGAAAUGCGUAGAGAUGUGGAGGAACACCAGUGGCGAAGGCGACUCUCUGGUCUGUAACUGACGCUGAGGAGCGAAAGCGUGGGGAGCGAACAGGAUUAGAGACCCGCGUAGUCCCUGUCUCUUAUAC